GGGCCCUUAGCGCAGCUGGUAGCGCGCCUCCAUGGCAUGGAGGAGGUCACCGGUUCGAUCCCGGUAGGGUCCA
rnacentral:tRNA from 1 species